rnacentral:misc_RNA from 1 species
GAUGAAGAACGUAGCGAAAUGCGAUAAGUAAUGUGAAUUGCAGAAUUCAGUGAAUCAUCGAAUCUUUGAACGCACAUUGCGCCCGCCAGUAUUCUGGCGGGCAUGCCUGUUCGAGCGUCAUUUCAACCAUCAAGCCCCCGGCUUGUGUUGGGGACCUGCGGCUGCCGCAGGCCCUGAAAUGCAGUGGCGGGCUCGCUGUCACUCCGAGCGUAGUAGUUACAUCUCGCUCUGGGCGUGCUGCGGGUUCCGGCCGUUAAAAGCCUUAUUUACCCAAGGUUGACCUCGGAUCAGGUAGGGAGACCCGCUGAACUUAAGCAUAUCAAUAAGCGGAGGA